GACGUAGGCAGCAAGCGUUGUUCGGAAUUACUGGGCGUAAAGAGUGUGUAGGCGGUGCUCUAAGUUUGGUGUGAAAUCUCCCGGCUCAACUGGGAGGGUGCAUCGAAAACUGGAAUGCUAGAGGGUGGGAGAGGUAAGCGGAAUUCCUGGUGUAGCGGUGAAAUGCGUAGAUAUCAGGAGGAACACCUGUGGUGUAGACAGCUUACUGGACCACUUCUGACGCUGAGACACGAAAGCGUGGGUAGCAAACAGG
rnacentral:rRNA from 1 species